rnacentral:rRNA from 1 species
CCUACGGGAGGCAGCAGUGGGGAAUAUUGCACAAUGGGCGAAAGCCUGAUGCAGCAACGCCGCGUGAGUGAUGAAGGCCUUCGGGUUGUAAAGCUCUGUCUUUUGGGACGAUAAUGACGGUACCAAAGGAGGAAGCCACGGCUAACUACGUGCCAGCAGCCGCGGUAAUACGUAGGGGCAAGCGUUGUCCGGAUUUACUGGGCGUAAAGGAUGCGUAGGUGGAUAUUUAAGUGGGAUGUGAAAUACCCGAGCUCAACUUGGGUGCUGCAUUCCAAACUGGAUAUCUAGAGUGCAGGAGAGGUAAGUGGAAUUCCUAGUGUAGCGGUGAAAUGCGUAGAGAUUAGGAAGAACACCAGUGGCGAAGGCGACUUCCUGGACUGUAACUGACACUGAGGCAUGAAAGCGUGGGGAGCAAACAGGAUUAGAUACCCUGGUAGUCCACGCCGUAAACGAUGGGUACUAGGUGUAGGAGGGUCCAACCUUCU